AUGAAUGCGUACUAUAUAUAGAAUGGAACGGGAGGAAGAAUAAAUAUGAGGCGAGGGUAAGGUCGCGUUUUGUUGUGUCGUGCGCUGUCUCCUUUGUCGUUUUUGUGUUCAGACCGAACCCUAGCUCCGCAGCGCAACCAUGUCGACCAAGCAAGGUGGAAAAGCUAAGCCUUUGAAGAAGCCCAAGUCUGAUAAGAAGGAUUACGACGAGAUUGACAUGGCUAACAUUCAGAAGAAAAAGGAAGAGGAGAAGGCACUGAAGGAGUUGAAAGCCAAGGCACAACAGAAGGGGAGUUUUGGAGGUUCUGGGCUCAAGAAAAGUGGAAAGAAAUAAGGGCUCUUUAUCAUGAUAAUUCAAUACUGAGAUCUAUAAUUACAGAUGUGACCAUAAGAACUUCUCUUAUUGUGACCUACUUUCUUGCUAAUAUUAGUACGAGGUCUGUCCAUAUGUAAGCUGCAAUAAGUUACUUAUUUGUAGCUUUAUUGUGUGUUUCUCAUGGGGUUCUGAUAACUAGUGUUGUGGAUUUGAUAUAGACUUGUUCAAGUAAUAAUGGCUUGGCUUUCAACUGCUUAACAUUUGUCAUGAUUCAUAUGAGAUCCUUUAGUCAAUAUUCAAUUGUUUGGCUUUUGUUCUUCA